AGCCAGGCAGCCAAAAGCCGCGGGCCUCCCAGGGGGGUCUCCAGGGCCCUGACUCACGUCUGGAACAGCUAAUUCUGGGUGUCGGAUGGAACGCAGAUCAUAAGGACGAGUGGGAACAGGAAAAGCAGUCCAGGGGUUGUUGACAAAGCAAAGGGGGCGGGGGCAGCGAUGGCGGUGGGAUGCAGAGAGGUGGGUGAGUUCAGGAAAGACCUCUGGAUACAGCCAACAGGACUGGCUGGAGGGCUAGACAUGGGAGAGGGGCCAGGCGGGGAAAUGGGUAUGAAGGUUGGUCCUAGGUGUCUGCUUGAAUGGCUCAGUGAACGGUAAAGCCAUUUACCAGAGUCGGGGGGGUGAAGGGGUGGUCAAGGGAAUAAAGCUUCUGGGGGGGGUGAGGAGGAGAGUCCAAGUUCUGAUUUUCCUUGUGAACAAUGAUGUGGCCAGAGCUUCAGACGGAGGCGUGAACGCAGACACCAUCAGCACAUCGCCCUCUCUCCCUUCCCCUCUGCAGCUUCAAAUGCACCAUCGCUCGACUUUCCAUGCGGCUCAGCUCCUCGAAAUGCAAACUCCUGACGUUCUGAGUCACUUCCGGCAGUGUGGAGACCGUGAGAGCAAAGGGCUUGAGGAUCAGCGAACCCGAGAACCAGUCAAGGACAUGCCCAGGCAAAGGCACAGAAAAGGAGCCAAAUGAAAAGCAGGGCCCAAGAGGGUGAAGGCAAGUGAGGUGUGUGCAGGGCCCAGGGUGCCCGCCGAGUGGAGCCUGAGUGCAGAUUAAACCGGGAAGGGACCGCAGGAGCCUGAGGUCAACGCCCUGAGGCCCCCCCGCCACCCCCGGGCUUGAGGAGCCGCCUCUUCCCCAAACGCAGGGCCCCAUGGGAUCAGACAGCAGCCCCCGCACGUGAAGUGGGACUGCAAACACCAAAAGACGGAGAGAUAGGACCUGGAGACCAUCUGACCUUCCCCUCGACUGAUGGAGACGAUGAGACUCAGAGAGCCGGAGGGUUUGGCCGGCAAUGAGCACGAACGUGAACACACGCUGGAGGUACCGCAGUGAUCACCCAGUAACGACCGCGCGUGUCCGAAGGGCCCCCUCCAAUGACUGCCAGCUAUUCCGUCUCCACGCUCCGCGUGGACCACGUGCAGGACUAGAGUCUUCAGGGGAAACACGCUGCUGCACACAGCGAACAGCCGAGGAGCAGACCUGGUUUCUGCAGCCCGUGCCGGGGUGGGAGGGAAGGGGGCAGACGCGACUGUGCGCCCACCCGCACGGAAAGGAAGCCGCGGGAGGGAACGUGAUAACAGCUAGCGGCCAGGCGCUCUACAGUGGAUGUUCUUAACCACACGACAGCACUUCAGGGUGGGUAUUAUCAUCCCCGCUAACAGAUGAAGAGACGCAAUGACGAGGACUUGCCCAAGGCCACCUGGCUGGUAAAUGGCAGAUCGCCAAGGCAGAAACCUACAUCUGACUGAGUCCCAAGGUCAGUCUCGUCCCUCUUUACCUGCCUGUCCGGGCUGCCCUGGGAUGUCGAGUCAUCUUAAUCCCCCGUUCCUCAGACUUUUACCGUCACCUUUGUGCUCUCACCAGAAGUCGCAUGAAAGCUGCACGGGUUGAAACUCGCUGUUAAUCAGUGAGGGGGCUCCUCCCAGGGUGGGGGCUGGGAUAAAAAGGGCUCAGAAGAGAGAAAGGCUGUUGGUGGAGUUCCGUUCAGCUUUGCUCGACGAAGCCUUGUUUUUGGCGGUUCCCGGCCCUGGCGCGUGCCCCUGCACGCCACACUAGCUGUCAUGCUGCAUUACGAAUUCAUAACGGUAUUUAUAUGGAUUCAUAAACCAUUGACUUCUCCAGGAGAAUUUCAUGGUUAACACGUUGUGAAGAGACAAAUGAAGGACAUAUACCAUCGAUAUUAUCGAUCCUGUUACGUAUUUCUUUUUUGUAUAUAUAAAAGAAUAUUUUAAUCCUUGUCCGUAGAAACUAUAAGGAGACAUACAGGAUUUGGAAAUGAGACAGCACCAAACACUGGUCAAAGAAGAACCGCCCACUGUAUGCCUUCUUUUUCAUCAGGUCUCAGAAAUAUAAUGUUAUCAGUUGCCUACUGCUGCCUGUCGCCUCACGUUAUUUUUAUCCGUGUACUCACCAUAGUCUACUUUCCCUUCCGCUUAAAUUCGAGACCCCUUCUUCACAUACGUAUGUGCCACAUCUCUGAGGCCUGGUCAGAACGCUGAAAUUCUGUGCCACGUUGUCUUUUGACCAACAUCACCCAUUUGGUAUGCUUCAUUUUCUCCGGAUUUCCAUAUCUCAUUUGUCACUAGAGAAAAUAUUGUGACUGGGAUUUUCCCUUCCACCUGUCUCAUGACAGGGUCCUGAUCCACUCACCCAAGUAGCUGCACAGGAGUCAGAGAUCUUUCGAGAACUGAACUCGAGAACCCUCGCUACUUCAGACUCAUGUCUUACAAACUGAUGAAGCACCUGUAAUACAGGGCUUCGAAACAUGGCUUCUAUGUGUCUUUUCCUACAAUGUAACCUUUAGCACAGGACUCAUGCUUUCCCAGACCCCCUGUUACCUAUUUCUCACAGGGUAACAAAUAGACCACAAUAGAAGAAGCAAAUAAUUAUACCAGGUUCCCACUGAUAUAAACUACAGUGAAACUAGAUUGUUAGGAGCACAUAAUGCUAAAACAUUAGCACACUAAGACGAACGUUCUGGUGUUCAUGGCGUCAGCCAGGAAAAUUCAGACAAACAUUUUGUGGAUUUCUGGCUAUUUUUGAUUUCCAAAUGUAUGAAAAUCUCAGAAGAGUUCAAAAAGGAAAGAAAAUUUGUCACAUUUCAAACCAACAUAUUGAAUCAAAUAAAUUAAACCAUGAUUCUCAAACUGCUCGUGUAACUGACAGGUUCAAAUGCAUUUUAAAAAGGGGUCUGAUUCCAACCCCUGAAUGCCAUAAACAUGUCCUCCCUCCGGAGCCGUGCGCUGGGACAUCCAACCGCCAUCAGCGAACAGGAACAAAGCUGCACGCUCCCUGUCUACACGCGCACUGCGGCUCUCCCGGCUCCGCACUCGGCACCCACCCCUUUGAGUUCUCCCUGGGUAUUUGGCCCGUGCUGCUCUUGACUGAAAAGCAGUCGUUUUCUCUUUCUAAAGAAAACCUUGCUUCGGUCUCAGACAAAAACAGGAAGACAAGCCCUACUAAUGGUGAUCUCAAGUUAAUACAAAAGGAAUUCAUAUCCCAGGACUUCUGCUGGCGUCACCUGAAGAGCUGCCACCUGAGGCGUCGAAGCCAUCUGGGGGUGGGCUCUCACGUGGGCUUGUGGUGAGAACUGUUCAGUCAGGCGACUCUGACACAGAACAGACGACAAGACGCGGCCCACUUCACAUCACCUACCUCUGCCAACAACCACGUCUGACGAAGGGUGGGGGGAGAUUUGUUGUUUUUAA